ACAGACAGCCAGGAUGUUGGCUUAGAAGCAGCCAUCAUUUAAAGAAAGCGUAAUAGCUCACUGGUCGAGUCGGCCUGCGCGGAAGAUGUAACGGGGCUAAACCAUGCACCGAAGCUGCGGCAGCGACACUUAUGUGUUGUUGGGUAGGGGAGCGUUCUGUAAGCCUGCGAAGGUGGCCUGUGAGGGCUGCUGGAGGUAUCAGAAGUGCGAAUGCUGACAUAAGUAACGAUAAAGCGGGUGAAAAGCCCGCUCGCCGGAAGACCAAGGGUUCCUGUCCAACGUUAAUCGGGGCAGGGUGAGUCGACCCCUAAGGC
rnacentral:rRNA from 1 species